UAUAUCUAAAACAACGAAAGCCCUGCCUCUCUUUCAUCUUUACGGCUCCUAGGCCGCGCCAUGGGAAUUAGCUUAUAAAAACCAA
rnacentral:sRNA from 1 species